CAGCAGACUCUGUUGCAAUCGGGAUGAGUUAGUGAAAAGAUGCCCAUCAAAACUUUUGAUAAAACUAUUGGGGAGCCCUUCCCAGAUCAGGAGACUCUAGGACGCACCUGCACACUCCAAUUGUCCUCACAAUCAGCCUUGAAUACAAUAGGUGAUUCACACCAGAGCUACCUAGUAACUUAGUCUUACUACUUUUAUUAUUUUUCUUUCAAACUGCUUUUGUUAAUUAAAACCUCUCUCUCAAGACGAUUUUCUUGAGUUCAGACACUUGCACAAAUUAAAACUGCUUGGAACUGUCUCCCCUUUGGAGCUAAAUUCCCCACAUUCACCCAACCUGGAGGUGUCGACCAAUCCCCGAGGCAGUUCCAUCAGCAAUACACAGGCUUUGUUCAUCCAUUAUGCAGUCUAUGCAUACAGAUGGGGAACACUGAGGCUGGAAGAUAACUGACUAGCCCAAGGCAGUUGCUGUUGCGGGAUUCUUCCAAAGCAUUCCCACGGAGGAGGAUUAACCUUAUGUCGGAACUGGACCUGGAUUUAACGACAACCGACAACAGCAACAUAAAUAAAGUCAGAUCUGCCAGGAAAUUCAGUUUCUGAAGAAUGGGACUCUGAAUGUAUACAACUGAAAACAAAAAAUAAACUGAAGGCUGGCCAUUUGCAGGAGGUGAGAGAAAAGUGUGAGCAUGGCUAUUAUGGAUUCUGCAAAUAAUAAAAAUGCUGCCCUGUG